GGCCUUGACAUACUAAGAACUUUCCAGAGAUGGAUUGGUGCCUUCGGGAACUUAGAUACAGGUGCUGCAUGGCUGUCGUCAGCUCGUGUCGUGAGAUGUUGGGUUAAGUCCGCAACGAGCGCAACCCUUUUCCUUAUUUGCCAGCGGGUAAUGCCGGGAACUUUAAGGAUACUGCCAGUGACAAACUGGAGGAAGGCGGGGACGACGUCAAGUCAUCAUGGCCCUUACGGCCAGGGCUACACACGUGCUACAAUGGUCGGUACAAAGGGUUGCUACCUCGCGAGAGGAUGCUAAUCUCAAAAAAGCCGAUCGUAGUCCGGAUCGCAGUCUGCAACUCGACUGCGUGAAGUCGGAAUCGCUAGUAAUCGCGGAUCAGAAUGCCGCGGUGAAUACGUUCCCGGGCCUUGUACACACCGCCCGUCACACCAUGGGAGUUUGUUGCACCAGAAGUAGGUAGUCUAACCGCAAGGAGGACGCUUACCACGGUGUGGCCGAUGACUGGGGUGAAGUCGUAACAAGGUAGGCGUAGAUGA
rnacentral:rRNA from 1 species